ACCGAAAUUUUGUAGUGUCAUUUCCCUUGUCAUGUCAAGUCACAUAAAACCCUUUGCAUAACCCCCUUCCCUGUUAGCGACAUGUGCAACACACUUUCUUCAGAUCCAUGGCCGAACACCAAUACUCCCAAUUCUCAUCUCUUCGUGCUCUCGAACUUCGUCUUUUAAAUUCCACUCUCCCAUCCCAUCAACCCAUACCCAUCACUUCCUUUUCUCACCUCCACACCCUCAUCGAACAAGUUCUCCAAUUCAUCGAAUUGGGUCAAUACACACAGGCACUCUCCUCUAACGCAGCUAAAUUAAUUUUUUCCUCACAACAACAACAACCUCUUCCCGUUAUCAAUGAUUCUUCCGAUUCCGCUGAGUAUUUUUACUCGGAAUUCGUGCCCAACUGUGUUGCUUUGUUCAUAAAUAAUAUACAUGAUGAUGGGGUUGAAGAUUCUUCUCCGCCUAACGGUGUUGAGAAGUUGUAUAGAGCAGUUCUUCUUAUGGCCGUUGCUGUUGCGGCUCUUCUUGGUUUUACUCAAUGUAACAUUACCGGGCCAAUUGUGAAGUUGCCACCAAUGCCUUUAGGUGCAAUAGUUUUUGGUGAAGGAGCUAGUUCUGAUGGAUUGCCAGAAUGGGAAGUGUGGGCGCAAAAGGAGUUAAUGUCAGUUGGUUCUGAUUUGCGUGCCAAAUUUUUGAAUUUGCAGUACAUAACCUUUGCCAAGAUACUGCUUAUGAGGACGAAAGAUCUUUUGUCAGAAGGAAACGACUUGGGGGCGGAUGGAGCCAGAAGCAUCUCGUGGUGGUUAGCUAGGCUGUUAAUCAUCCAACAGAAGUUAUUAGAUGAUCCCUCGUCGUCUUUGUUUGAUCUAUUGCAAGUCUUCACGCGUGAAAGUAUCCAACAUAUUGGUUCUCCGGAGAAAAUCAGAUAUUAUUGGGCUUCUCUGAUAUCAGAAGAGGACGCUUCUUCUAUUGUGUCUAUGUUUCAUUUGGAGGCAGGAAUAAUGGAACUUACCUAUGGGCGAGUUGAUGCGUCCAGGGUCCAUUUUGAAUCAGCUGCAGCAACAUCUAGACUUAAUUUUUCACUAAGUGGGGCUUUGGGCUUUCGUACGUUACACCAGGCGGAACCGAAAGCACAACUUUUUCUUGUAGGUAGCGCGGAUGGUAAUGAUUGUAGUGCUUCACUUGGUAAUGAUUUCCAAAAUAAGGUUUCUACCCGUGGUGAAAAUGGUUUUCCUCAACGUCCCAGUGAAACUCAUGAAGCAUCUGACAUAUUGAUGACCCCUAGAUUCUUAGAAGAUGAUAAAAAAUUAGAAUGUAGCGCACAAGGUGCUCAAAAUCACAGCAUAGCCUCUAUGCAAUUAAAGCCUACUCAGCAAGCAGUAAUUUUAGCACAAUGUCUUUCUAUUGAGAAGAGAGCUCGGAGUGAUGAACUGCAAAGGUGGGAGAUGGCUCCUUAUAUUGAGGCAAUUGAUUCCCAGCAGUCAUCACCUUUUAUGCUACAACAUUUGUGUGAUAUAUUACGCAUUCGGUGGGAAGCAACUCGUGGGCGUACAAAGCAACGUGCAUUGCUGAUGAUGGAUAAAGUGGUUCAGGGCAUAUAUGAUCCUUAUCCUGGAGCUACACAAAGGAUGCAUUGUUGUUUUGGAGUUAAUAUCCCUACGGUUCCUGCAUUGCGCAAGGAGUUUGGAGAUCUGCUAGUGAGCUGUGGUUUGAUAGGGGAAGCUGUUAAAGUGUAUGAGGAUCUUGAGCUUUGGGAUAACUUAAUAUACUGUUAUAGGCUUAUGGAGAAGAAAGCGUCAGCAGUUGAACUUAUCCAAGCUCGGUUAUCUGAAAGACCUUCUGACCCUAGAUUAUGGUGUUCCCUUGGAGAUGUUACAAAUGAUGACAAAUGCUAUGAGAAAGCCCAGGAAGUGUCAGGGAAUAAGUCUACUCGAGCACAGCGUGCCCUUGCCCGUAGUGCAUACAACAAGGGGGAGUACGAGAAGUCAAAAGAUCUAUGGUUGGCUUACUACAUGCUUCCAUUCACUUGGGAAUCUGCAAUGGCAAUGAAUUCUAUGUAUCCAGAUGGAUGGUUCGCACUUGGUGCUGCUGCUUUAAAGGCUAGAGAUGUUGAGAAGGCACUGGAUGGCUUCACACGUGCUGUUCAGCUUGAUCCUGAAAAUGGAGAGGCUUGGAAUAAUAUUGCUUGCCUGCAUAUGGUUAAGAAGAAAAACAAGGAAGCCUUUAUUGCGUUUAAGGAAGCCUUGAAGCUGAAGCGAGACAGCUGGCAGAUGUGGGAAAAUUUUAGCCGCGUUGCUGCAGAUAUUGGAAAUUUCAGUCAGGCACUGGAAGCAGUACAGAAGGUGUUGGAUAUGACUAAUAAGAAGCGAAUUGAUGUCGAAUUACUGGAGAGAAUGUUGCAAGAGUUAGAAUUACGGACUUCAACUAGCCAUUCUGAAUGCCAUGCUUUGAGGGAUAUCAGUGAUUCUGCUGAGGCUGGAUCCAACAUGAUUAAUGUUGAUCCAUUGACCAGCUCGGACAAAGACCCGGCAAGAGAACGGGAAACUGAGCACUUGAUUCAGUUAGUGGGGAAAAUCUUACGGAAGAUUGUUCAAACUGGUGGGGAUGCUGAGGUUUGGGGGCUCUAUGCUAGGUGGCAUAAACUCAAAGGAGAUCUUGCAAUGUGUUCAGAGGCCCUUCUUAAGCAAGUCCGAUCAUACCAGGGAUCUGACCUGUGGAAGGAUAAAGACCGGUUCACAAAGUUUGCACAUGCCUCGUUAGAACUCUGCAAGGUUUACCAGGAAAUAGCUCGACGUAAUGGUAGCCAUAGGGAGUUGUCUGCAGCUGAGAUGCACUUGAAAAGCACAAUCAAGCAGGCUGAGGCUUUUUCCUACACCAAAGAGUAUCAAUAUAUCUUGGCAUUCCUUGAUGAGGUGAAGGCAGCGCAAGCUACACCCUGAUCAUAUGCUUUCUGCCGAGUCAUUUCUUCAAAGGCAAAAAGGGCAUUCUCUUAUAAUCAUCCUCUCAACUAGUAGGCAGUGAAGAAAUUCAAGGCCCACAAGUGGAGACAUGCAGAUUUUGAUCCAUGAGAGGAGGAUCUGUAUACUCUGGAUGAGUGGUUUGCAAGUUUAUGUAAUUUAGGAUUCAGAAGGCAAAUGAUACAUCAUCAGUUGAGAAGGGCUAUGAGCUUCCUGACGGACAAGUCAUUGUAAAACCUACAUGCACCCGGUGUAUACACCAAACCAAUACAUGCAUUUUUAUAUUUGAAUUUAAAGUUUAUGUUACUUAACCAUGAUUAAUCAAUAUGUAUUUUACUUAAUUUAAUUACAUAAUCAUGAUAAAGAACAUUAGUUUGGUGUAUACACCGAGUGCGUGUAAGUUUUUACCGUCAUUAAUAUUGGUGCUGAGAGAUUCCGUUGACCUGAAGUCCUCUUCCAACUAUCAUUGGUUGGAACAGAAGUGACAGGAAUUCAUGUCAAAGCCAACAACUCAAUCAUGGGCGACAUUGAUAUCAGAAAAGAUUUAUUUGCAAACAUUGUGCUUAGUGGUGGCACAACUAUGCUCCGUGGCAUAGCAGAACGUAUGAGCAAGGAAAUCACUGCUCUUGCUCCAAGCAGCACAACGAUCGAGGUGGUUGCACUACCUAAGAGGAAGUACCGCACCUGGAUAGGAGGAUCACUCAUCACUUCUA